UUAUUUUUAUUUGAUGUUAAGAUUAAGGGGGAUUAGCUCCUUGUUUUAUUCUUAUAAUUGGUUUGGGUUAUAGAUUUAGUUUUGUGGAUUUUAUGGUGAUUUUCUAUUUGAUUAUGUUAAAAUUUUAUUUGUUCUUUUUUUGAUUUUUUGUUAUUUAAGUUAUUUAUUGAAAUGUUUUCUUUAUUUUGGUUUGUAUAGUAAUUAUUGUGUAAUUAGUAAAUUUUGUUUAUUGUUUUGUAUGUUGAAGUGAGGUGUUAAUUACUUUUGAGGAAUUAGGCAAAGUUUUUAUGUCCGCCUGUUUAACAAAAACAUCUUUUCUUGUUAGUUUUUGAAGUAUGGCCUGCCCACUGACUGAUUGUUGAAGGGCCGCGGUAUUUUGACCGUGCAAAGGUAGCAUAAUCAUUAGUUCUUUAAUUGUGAUCUGGUAUGAAUGGCUUGACGAGACAUAGACUGUCUUAGAGGUAUUGUUUAUUGAAUUUGGUUUCUGAGUUAAAAUUCUUAGAUGUUUUUAUGGGACGAGAAGACCCUAUAGAGUUUAACAUUUAUUCUUAUUUGUUUAGUUGUUUGUUUUAUAUUUAUUGAGUGGGAGUGGUUGUUUUGUUGGGGUGAUAGGAGGAAUGUAUUUAACUCCUCUUUGUUUUUGUAUAUUUAUAUAUA
rnacentral:rRNA from 1 species